UAUUUCCAUACACCAAAUAUACUAGCAGACUGGUUGUAUAAGAAAAAAAGACCAAAACUCAAAAACUUAACUUUGACCACUGAACCAUGAAACUGAGGUCAAGGACAGAUGAUACCUGCCAGCUGACAUGUACACCUUGCCAUCUUUACAUACACUAAAUAUAAGAGACCUUUUUCAUAUAGUAUAUGAAAAUCAGACCAAAACACAAAAAGUAAACUAUAUCUACGGAACCAUGAAAAUGAGGCCAAGGUCAGAUGACACCUGCCAGUUGGACACCUUACAAUCCU
rnacentral:lncRNA from 1 species